AAAAAAUAAGUAAAGCUGACGACGCUCCUUUCCUCAUGGGGCCCUGGUGUGCAAUGGCUGCAAACAGUAGUCUCUUUGGUAGUGUAUGCAGCCUGUUGCUUGUAUAGGUUGUUCUAAGGUACCUUAGAGACAUUC
ensembl:snoRNA SNORA70 Small nucleolar RNA SNORA70